CCUACGGGUGACAGCAGUGGGGAAUAUUGCACAAUGGGCGAAACCCUGAUGCAGCGACGCCGCGUGAAGGAAGAAGUAUUUCGGUAUGUAAACUUCUUUCAGCAGGGAAGAAAAUGACGGUACCUGACUAUGAACCCCCGGCUAACUACGUGCCAGCAGCCGCGGUAAUACGGAGGGGGCAAGCGUUAUCCGGAUUUACUGGGUGUAAAGGGGGCGUAGGCGGUUUAGCAAGUGCGACGUGAAAGCCCGGGGUUCAACACCUGGACUGCCGUUGAAACUGGUGGACUAGAUUGCAGGAGAGGUAAGUGGAAUUCCUAGUGUAGCGGUGAAAUGCGUAGAUAUUAGGAAGAACACCAGUGGCGAAGGCGGCUUACUGGACUGUAACUGACGCUGAGGCUCGAAAGCGUGGGGAGCAAACAGGAUUAGAUACCCGGGUAGUC
rnacentral:rRNA from 1 species